rnacentral:lncRNA from 1 species
GAGAAACUCCUUGCAGUUGGCCUUGGGAAGCUGGGGAGGACUUGAAACUUCUAAGUGGCCCUGGGAGCAACCGGAGGUGGGGUGGGCCAGUGCCUGUAGGCCUGGGCCUGCCUGGCUGAGGAUCCCAGCUGGACUACUGCCUUGCUGUCUACAAAUGAUGGAGCCCUUCCAGUCUCAGCUUCCUCACAAGUAAAAUGCAGACGGCAAUGCCUCUUUCCAGUGACGUUGUGAGGAUUCGAUGGGAAGUUUCAUGAAAGCACUUAGCAGGGUUUUUGUUGAGUGCUCAGAAGGUGAUAGUUUGGUGUUGCUAGGGGAACAGAAGCCUGGGCUGAGAACAGGCCGUGGAGAGUCACAAAUGGUCUUCAGCCGUCGGAAGGCACUGUUAGAUUUACUCUUCACAAAGAACAUUUUGGGACAUCUUGGUGUACGGAUUAGAAGGAAGGACAGAAGCUGGUGAGCUGUGGGCCACAGGGUCAGCAGGGAGGAUACUGAAGCAGUCCACAGACGCAGCUGUGAGGGUGUCCUGGAGCUGGGGAGAGGGAGAGGAGUGGAUUAGAGACGUGUUUGGAAAGUGUUAAUAAGAUAGGCAGGGCUGAGGGGAGAGAACAAGAGAGGGAGAAGGGGGUAGAUUUUGAUGAGGAGGUGACGGCAGUGACAGUGACUGAGAGGAGCAAUAAAGCCAGGAGCAGGCUGUGGGAAGAGGGAGUGGCUUCCCUCAGAAGAGGCGCCGCCUCCCUAGCAGUGAGCAAAUGUGUUUAGGAACAUGUUCUUCCUCCCAAUCCAGAGACGGAUUGCUGAGAUGAUUCCUGCUUUCCGGCUCCCCGACACCCGCUGUUCUUUAGAUCCGCUCAGCGGCGCUUUUUCCUGUGCCACGUGCCCAGAUCUGAGCGAGGCUUGGGAAGACGCGAACGGGCUGUAAAAUCUGUCCCCAGAACUGGAGACUGUUGUCUGCCUUUGAGUCACACAGAACCACUUGCAGGAAGAACUCUAGAGAAUUUGGGAAGAAAGGGGGAGAGGACAGACAAAAGAUGCAUUUUUCUUUCAAGAAGCAGGAAAAUGUAAGGAAAAUUGAAGGUGUUCUCAAGUGUGUCUGCUGCUGCCUGACACAGGUUAACCCCGUCGCAGGUCACUCCGCUCUGUUAAUUGCAUCCUAACCUUCCUCGGCUCUUCGGCAGCGAAAUCGCAGCAGAGGAGAUGGAGCAGCUUCGUGCGCAUUGCUCAUUUGCGCCAACGUGAAAAGAACUGCCAGGAUGCCCAGGACACCAGCUCCCUGGCUUCUGCGGUGCUUGCACAGUCCUGAAUCAGCCCGAGAGCUGUGGAUCUGCGUCCCCUGGCUGCAUAGCCGACUGCCGGCUCCAUGGAGGGGCCUGUGCCGGAGAACGCACAUGUUGACUUAUUUCUUCAGUCUAGGCCUUUCUUGGCCCCCUUGGUUAUUCAUUCUAGAUGAUACAACUCUUAUUUCAGUUCAAAUGUCUCACGGAAGAGGCAUUGAAGACAGAGUGGAUGCCCGUGUUUGUUGGCAGUAGGUAGUAUUUACCACUCCGGUUGUAGUAAAAGAACAAAAGGAGAAAUUACACCUAUUUCUCAUAUUUAAGGGAAAAGCAAUUAAAUCACCAAAGUCAGAUUCUCGAGUAAUUGCUGGGCCCUUGGAGGGGCGGGCAAGGUGAGGUGUGAGGCCCCAGAUCUCUGUCUUGUGUGGGGCUGACACUGCCUGCUGGGGACUCCAAGCAGAGGCGGGGCCAGGGAAGGCAGCAUGCAGGGGGAAACCGAGAGCCUCUUGCCAGCCUCCCCUCCCAGCUGCUAUCCAUGCACUUGUCGUAGCUUCGCCGCUGUCCUCAGGCCAGGCAAGAGGUAGCAGGGCUCCACCUACAGAAGUUAUAGGAGGCGACUCUCAGAGCCUUGAUUUCCUCCAUUUGAAAUACUGAGAACAGUAUCUUCCAUACCUAGUUUCUAAAAGUUGUUAUGAAGAUUACGUAGAUUCAUACCUGUGAAGGCUGGUGAAAGAAUAAAACAGCCUAAACACACAAGGUGUUAAAAACAUCCCUUCCAACUAAAUAAUAGAUGAGUUGGAAUCCCAAGCAUGCUGGACAGCAGCAGUCACAGCCGAGGGGUGGGGGCCCCGUCCCUUACCAGGUGACCUCCCAUCGGUCAGGAGGACGAUGGCAUGUGGCAGUGCCGAGCACCACCUGGCUGGGAUCACUUCUCCCGCCUUCCUUUCUCCUUCUCCGGCCUGGGUCGGUAGCAUGGUCCGGAGAGCCAGCAGGCAGUCUCUCCCAGUCCGCAGAGGCAGAGGAGCGGUCUGAACGUGCAGGGCGGCCACUGCCAAGGCAGCCUGGGAUCAGGAGCUGCCCUGCACCUGGUGAUCUCUGCAAAUCAAUGCUUACCCAGAAGGAAAACCAAUUUACAUUGGGUGAGUAACAGAGAAUGCCAAGUUCGUGUUAGGAGAUGAAGUUCUUUUGGAUGAAGGGAGGCCAGAGCCCUUUAAAAAUAGUAUUUUAUUUGUAUGUGUUCCCACUGCUGAAUAAGGUGUUCCUUAGGCCAGCUCUGGGCAAAAUUGGGAAGCUCCGUUUCAGCUCCCCCAAGCCCCACUUGUUUUAAAAUAGGUAUGUGAAAACUGUUACAAUAUCCAGGCAAGAUGGACAAUAGUAGAACUGACAUUCAAUCUUCAUUUUGAAGAGCAGUUAAAUGGGAGUGAGAUUA